AAAUUUUAUAGCUUACAAUUUCUAAACAUUUAUUGCGAAUGGAAAACUUUAUCUUAUUAAGUUUGAACGUGUGUGUCUUUUGCCGACUUGUUCAUACGAUUUCAUUUAAAAAUUGUCAAUAUUUUGAUACAUUGUGUGGCGAUAUUGUCCUAUAAAAUCAUGGAAAACAAUAGGCAUUUUUGGACGGAAUUUAUAGAAAUUUAUCAAGAGCAUUCUUGUUUAUGGGAUGUCAGAUCUAAUGAUUAUUCUAACAAACAUAAACGUAACGCAAGUUACGAAAUUCUCUUAAGAAAAUUAAAAGAAAUAAACCCAACAGCAACGAUGGAACUUUUAAAGAAGAAAAUUAAUAAUAUGAGAACAGCUUUUCGAAGAGAGUUGAAAAAGUGAUUCAUAAAUAGCUCGAAAGGUUUCACGAACGAUUUGACCUAUGGACUGAGGUGAUAUAGCUUUUCUUUUGGAGUUUUAUUACGAGACGUGCUAUGGAUGAGAAGAGAAAAAGAAUAUUAUCUUUGCUGCUAGAAGAAGAAGAAGAGGAUGAUGAUUUGGUACUGUUUUCAAUAUUAGAUAUAAGGCGUGAGGUUAGUAACUUAUUUAAAAGGAGAAGAACUGAAGGAACUUUUAAAGUUCUAAUUAAAAACCAUUUAGAAGAAAACGAACCAAAGUUUAAGGAAUAUUUAAGAUUAAGUAAGUUGCAAUUUAAGGAAGUUCUGAACAUGAUAUCGCCUUUAUUGGAAAAGCAGCCUAACAGCUUUGUUCAAGAUCCAAUAAGUGGAUAUGAAAAAUUCGCUUUAACUCUUAGAUAUCUGGCAGCAGGAGAAUCUUUCCGUUCGUUAGCAUUUGCUUGUAGAAUUUCGCAUAACCACAUAAGUUUAAUUGUUAAAGAAGUGCUAGCAGCAAUAUGCAAGAAGUUAUUAACUAUUUAUUUACCAGUACCCACAACACAAAGUAUGAGAGCUGUUGCUGAAGACUUUAAUGAAAUAUGGAACUUUCCUAAUUGUUGCGAAACAAUAGAUGGAAAACAUUGCCGUAUAAUAUGUCCAAGUAAUACCGAUGUGGGUUCGUAUGGAAAAGAAGGCGACAGUGGCAUAUUUAAAAAGUCAAAGCUUUAUGAAUUUUUGUCAAGUGAAGAUGCAUUCCAGAGGAAGCACCCUUGCCAAAUAUUAAUACAGUUUUGCCACAUGUUAUUAUAGGAGAUGAAGCUUUUCCGCUUUCAAAACACCUAUUACGUCCUUAUCAAGUUUCUGAUAAUAAUCAGAAACGUAUCUUUAAUUAUAGGUUAUGUAGGGCAAGAAGAACUGUAGAAAAUGCCUUUGGCAUUUUAUGCCAAACUUUCAGAAUAUUCUUCACACCUAUUGCUAUUAAACCAGAUACACCAGAGCUGUUAAUUACAGCGUAUUGUUGUUGGCAUAAUUUGCUAAAAAACUAAACUGUUCGAACUGCAAGUGAAGAAGAACCUGCCACAACUCUUCCAACUAAAAAUAUGGUACCAUUAAAUAAAAUUGGGGGAAAUGCGACAUUACAGGCAUUUAGAACACGGGAGGAAUUUAUGAACUACUUUUGUAGUAGACAAGUUCAAGUCCAUUGGCAGCAAAAAUUAAUAAAUCGAACAGAUAAAAAAUAAUGUAAAUAUAAGUGUUUUUCUUAAAUAUAUAAACUAAACUUA